rnacentral:rRNA from 1 species
AACGAACGCUGGCGGCAGGCUUAACACAUGCAAGUCGAACGCAUCGCAAGAUGAGUGGCAGACGGGUGAGUAACGCGUGGGAACAUACCCUUUUAUACUGAAUAGCUCUGGGAAACUGGAAUUAAUACCGUAUACGACCUACGGGGUAAAGAUUUAUCGGGGAAGGAUUGGCCCGCGUUGGAUUAGUUAGUUGGUGGGGUAAAGGCCUACCAAGGCGACGAUCCAUAACUGGUCUGAGAGGAUGAUCAGCCACAUUGGGACUGAGACACGGCCCAAACUCCUACGGGAGGCAGCAGUGGGGAAUAUUGGACAAUGGGCGCAAGCCUGAUCCAGACAUGCCGCGUGAGUGAUGAAGGCCUUAGGGUUGUAAAGCUCUUUCACCGAUGAAGAUAAUGACGGUAGUCGGAGAAGAAGCCCCGGCUAACUUCGUGCCAGCCGCCGCCGUAACAC